GACGAACGCUGGCGGCGUGCUUAACACAUGCAAGUCGAGCGAGACCCAUCUUUCGGGGUGGUGUUCUAGCGGCGAACGGGUGAGUAACACGUGGGCAACCUGCCCUCAGCUCUGGGAUAACUCCAAGAAAUUGGGGCUAAUACCGGAUAUGACCGCUGACCGCAUGGUCUGGUGGUGGAAAGAUUUAUCGGCUGGGGAUGGGCCCGCGGCCUAUCAGCUUGUUGGUGGGGUAGCGGCCUACCAAGGCGACGACGGGUAGCCGGCCUGAGAGGGUGACCGGCCACACUGGGACUGAGACACGGCCCAGACUCCUACGGGAGGCAGCAGUGGGGAAUAUUGCGCAAUGGGCGGAAGCCUGACGCAGCGACGCCGCGUGGGGAUGACGGCCU
rnacentral:rRNA from 1 species